AGAUAUUUCCCAUUAACGUGAAGGGCUCUGCUGGAAGUCUUGUGACUUUGGUUAGUUGGUUGUGUUCUUGGAUUAUAUCAUAUGCCUUUAACUUCCUCGUGGGUUGGAGUUCCACAGGAACUUUCUUCAUAUUCUCUGGCAUAUGUGGCUUCACCGUUCUAUUCGUGGCAAAACUAGUACCAGAGACGAAGGGGCGUACACUAGAAGAAGUUCAAGAAUCUCUUAAUCCAUGUUCAGCCAAGAGAUGAAUUUGGCAUGACCCAGUUGCAGAAUUGCAUGCACAAUAAAUCCAGCAACAAUUUUCAUAUGAUACAUGAUGAAAAAGAUUUUAUGAAACAAACUUGAUCAUUUUGAAUUUGUAUUGUUGCUUGAAUCGCACUCCAAGAUUUGAUCAUUAUGGAAGUCAAGAGUAUUGCAAUAUCUUUCCGUGAUAUAGUUUGCUAAAAAUAAAUUAAAUUGGAAGGGGAAGUUUGAACAA